rnacentral:rRNA from 1 species
GACGAACGCUGGCGGCGUGCCUAAUACAUGCAAGUAGAACGCUGAAGGAGGAGCUUGCUCUUCUGGAUGAGUUGCGAACGGGUGAGUAACGCGUAGGUAACCUGCCUGGUAGCGGGGGAUAACUAUUGGAAACGAUAGCUAAUACCGCAUAACAGUAGAUGUUGCAUGACAUUUACUUAAAAGGUGCAAUUGCAUCACUACCAGAUGGACCUGCGUUGUAUUAGCUAGUUGGUGGGGUAACGGCUCACCAAGGCGACGAUACAUAGCCGACCUGAGAGGGUGAUCGGCCACACUGGGACUGAGACACGGCCCAGACUCCUACGGGAGGCAGCAGUAGGGAAUCUUCGGCAAUGGACGGAAGUCUGACCGAGCAACGCCGCGUGAGUGAAGAAGGUUGUCGGAUCGUAAAGCUCGGUUGUAAGAGAAGAACGAGUGUGAGAGUGGAAAGUUCACACUGUGACGGUAUCUUACCAGAAAGGGACGGCUAACUACGUG